rnacentral:rRNA from 1 species
GACGAACGCUGGCGGCGUGCUUAACACAUGCAAGUCGAACGGAAAGGCCCUGCUUUUGUGGGGUGCUCGAGUGGCGAACGGGUGAGUAACACGUGAGUAACCUGCCCUUGACUUUGGGAUAACUUCAGGAAACUGGGGCUAAUACCGGAUAGGAGCUCCUGCUGCAUGGUGGGGGUUGGAAAGUUUCGGCGGUUGGGGAUGGACUCGCGGCUUAUCAGCUUGUUGGUGGGGUAGUGGCUUACCAAGGCUUUGACGGGUAGCCGGCCUGAGAGGGUGACCGGCCACAUUGGGACUGAGAUACGGCCCAGACUCCUACGGGAGGCAGCAGUGGGGAAUAUUGCACAAUGGGCGGAAGCCUGAUGCAGCAACGCCGCGUGCGGGAUGACGGCCUUCGGGUUGUAAACCGCUUUCGCCUGUGACGAAGCGUGAGUGACGGUAAUGGGUAAAGAAGCACCGGCUAACUACGUGCCAGCAGCCGCGGUGAUACGUAGGGUGCGAGCGUUGUCCAGAUUUAUUGGGCGUAAAGGGCUCGUAGGUGGUUGAUCGCGUCGGAAGUGUAAUCUUGGGGCUUAACCCUGAGCGUGCUUUCGAUACGGGUUGACUUGAGGAAGGUAGGGGAGAAUGGAAUUCCUGGUGGAGCGGUGGAAUGCGCAGAUAUCAGGAGGAACACCAGUGGCGAAGGCGGUUCUCUGGGCCUUUCCUGACGCUGAGGAGCGAAAGCGUGGGGAGCGAACAGGCUUAGAUACCCUGGUAGUCCACGCUGUAAACGGUGGGUACUAGGUGUGGGGUCCAUUCCACGGGUUCCGUGCCGUAGCUAACGCUUUAAGUACCCCGCCUGGGGAGUACGGCCGCAAGGCUAAAACUCAAAGGAAUUGACGGGGCCCCGCACAAGCGGCGGAGCAUGCGGAUUAAUUCGAUGCAACGCGUAGAACCUUACCUGGGUUUGACAUGGAUCGGGAGUGCUCAGAGAUGGGUGUGCCUCUUUUGGGGUCGGUUCACAGGUGGUGCAUGCCUGUCGUCAGCUCGUGUCGUGAGAUGUUGGGUUAAGUCCCGCAACGAGCGCAACCCUUGUUCACUGUUGCCAGCACGUUAUGGUGGGGACUCAGUGGAGACCGCCGGGGUCAACUCGGAGGAAGGUGGGGAUGACGUCAAGUCCUCAUGCCCCUUAUGUCCAGGGCUUCACGCAUGCUACAAUGGCUGGUACAGAGAGUGGCGAGCCUGUGAGGGUGAGCGAAUCUCGGAAAGCCGGUCUCAGUUCGGAUUGGGGUCUGCAACUCGACCUCAUGAAGUCGGAGUCGCUAGUAAUCGCAGAUCAGCAACGCUGCGGUGAAUACGUUCCCGGGGCU